rnacentral:rRNA from 1 species
UACGAAGGGGGCUAGCGUUGCUCGGAAUCACUGGGCGUAAAGGGUGCGUAGGCGGGUCUUUAAGUCAGGGGUGAAAUCCUGGAGCUCAACUCCAGAACUGCCUUUGAUACUGAGGAUCUUGAGUUCGGGAGAGGUGAGUGGAACUGCGAGUGUAGAGGUGAAAUUCGUAGAUAUUCGCAAGAACACCAGUGGCGAAGGCGGCUCACUGGCCCGAUACUGACGCUGAGGCACGAAAGCGUGGGGGAGCAAACAG